rnacentral:lncRNA from 1 species
UGAGUCCUUUUUUGUUCUUAUGUCAUCUGUAGCACCCAAAAGAGUACAAGGUAUAUAAUUAGUACCCAAAUACUUUUACUAUCACAGCUCAAAUGUAAAUUUUGCUAUGGUCAAGUUAGGUGAAGCAACAGUACCUUAUCCAUAAGCCCAUACUCAUUGAUUAAGUGUGAUUUAACAUAGUGCCUUUGAUGCUAAAAAUGAAUUGAUCAUACAUUUGAGUUAUAGUUUCCUUUUAGUUAUCUAGUACAAUGAAAAUAUUUCUAGUGGAUGAAUUCAUUUAGGUCACAAGUAUGUAUUUAUUCCUUAAAAGACCUAAGGGGUUAUGUUAGAUUACUUCUACCUUGUUCUCUUUGCGCCCUGCGCUGCAAGGCAAGAAGUUCUACUAUCUUGCAGGAUAGACCUUAUUGAGAGUCUACAUGGAGUAUACAGGACUCACCUGAGUUCAGCCUUCCAUCCAUUGCCUCCAAGGUACUGGUCAUGUGAUGUAACUAUCUUGUCCCCUCUAGACUAGUUGUCAUUCAGUACUAUUUAGUGACCUUAGUCUAUGGGUACAUGGAAAAAAGUACCACCCACUAAGCCCUGCUUUAAUUUAUGACCCAGAAAAUAGUGAAACAUAAUCAUAUUUUUGUUGUUUCCAGCUCAUAGUUUUUGAGCCUUUUUUGGGCAGCAAUAGAUCAUUGGAACGUGAAUAGUCAUCCAAAUUAACAUAUAGUUAUAACUUAUAGUAACUGUAAUGGAUGGAGAGAUCUAGUAUUCUGAAAGAGAUUACAAUGGAGAGCCCUAGGGUGGUGUCUUUAUUUAUUUUUUUAUUUGUUCUCCAUAAGGAGCAUCAUGCUAACAGUGUAUAUUUUGGAGAGGGAGUAGUUGAUAAUGAACUAUAAGAUUGCUAAAAGUAGCAUUUAAGUGGGAAGUAGGGAAAGAUGAAAAUUAAGACACUCCAUUUUUUUCUCCAUUUCUAUUAACUAGGAAAUUCGCUAUAUUAAUUGACAUAAAGUUAUCGCUUACUUUUAGAAAGGAUUUGAAAAAAAAUGAAAUUCAAUAAUUUUAGAGUUGGCAACUAUAUCAGAAAAGAGAUUUAUGAUAAUAUAUUUAAAACAUACCAUGUAUCAGAGACUAAAAUAAUGAGUGUGUUAUAGCCAUCAUUCCUUCAAAUUCAUGGAAGACCCUAAUCUUUUGAGGUGGUAGAAUUUAAUUGAUUUUUACACUUUUCUAAUGCUUUAAAGGCUUAGAAUAGAGGGACAGUUAAGUUUGCCAAGAUUUACAUGUAAUUUGCAGGUGGAGACUCUAGGAUCCAGGUCUGGCUGUUUGGUUUCACAUCUUCCCUGAAAACAACUACAUUAUUAUUAUUUAAGGAAAACAUGAUGAUAUGACCGUCGGGACCUGGGGCUAGGGUUUGAGAACAGUAACUGAGUUAGAAAGCAUCUAAGUUGCUGUGUUACCUUUGAGAACGACCAAGGUCUUUUUAUUUUUUUCUUAUGUUUUUCAUUAAAGUGCUCUAUUCUACUUUGAACCCUGAAGAUGAAAAUGUGGCUUUCACAAAACUAUUGAGAGGCACAUACAGUUGUACACAUACAAACUUGUGCACAUACACCCCUGAGGUUUUCUCAGCAACUUUACAUCAGUUGUUUCUUUAACCUAAGAAAAACCUUGAAUAAGAUCUGAAAUAGACAGUUCAGCAGGUGCUCAAAAGAAAGGCAAAUCAAGUAAACAGUCUGUGCAGUUGCAAAAAAAAAAAGCUGUUCAUGGGCUUGCAUGGGACUGGCUGUUGCAAUAUUUUCUUGAUGGUAAAUAUGUCAAAGGUUCUUCCAAUUGGAUUGAUUUUAAGUACUUUUGGAAACAAAUUAACUUAAUUCAAUCUAUUGUUCCAUAAAAAUAUAUUUUUUUAACUGAUUACAAUAGAGGGAAGACAUAACUAAAAUAUCAACAACUUCUGAGACUGCAACCUCUGGGUCCAGGGGUCAAGGAUUGAUUCAUCUUAAGUAUGACAAAUAUGAAUUCAACAGAACUGGCCUUCUUUAAUGACCCACUUUUAGAAGGCAAGGAUAUGUCUAGUAAUGCUUUUGUGUGCAUCCUCCAUUGAGCUUCUUUGCUUAUUACUAAGCUUGAUUUUAAAGUACUUGUUUAAUAGAAACUAGUCUAUUGCCAGCCACUAGUCUAUGUUAGUGGUUACCCUCCGAGGACACAGAUGCCAUGCCUCUAAGUCUGUGCUGUCAAAAGGGAACUAGAUUCAAAUAAAAUGUGUGGCAAUGCCAACCUUGUUUCAUCUUUGGCUCUUUCCCUGUUACUAGGAAGUCUCAUACAUGGAUCUCUGCACUAAAAAUGUAUAACCUUUGAUUUCAUAGACCUUAACUUUCUAGUGACUUUUUACCAUGGCAGAUGGAAGAAAAUACAGAAGAAAUCUCUUGUUAAAAAUGGCAAGAAAGUUGAAAACAGUGAGACCAGUAUUCAUUUAUUAAGUAGCAUAAAAUGGUGUCCCAGGAGAAAUGUUCAUGAAUCCUGCCGUCACACAAUAUGGAAAAAUUGGCAUGACUGAUUACCUAAUAUCCUGCAUUUAAUUUCUACUUCCAGUAAAAGUGUAUAUUCAUCAGGUGACUUCAGAAAAAUAGAACUAAGGUCGAGGAAUGAUGCAUACAGAGAUAGAAAAUGUAUGCCAUGGGUCAUAUUGCUACUGGUGACUAUUUUUGGUCAUGGGUAGAAAAUGUGAAUGUUGACAUAAGUGUGCGUGGGGUAUGUGAGUAACUCUAGGAAAAGUGUAGCUGAUUUUCUUAGUGGUAGAAAUGCAACAUUUCUAAAUUAAAUGCAGUAAUACAGUGUUAAGCAGAGUGAUUAAAGCAACUCAAUUACUUAAUUAUAAGCAACAAGUACUUAAUUAUAAGGUAUCUGGAAAGCAGAAUGUGGGGUUACUCUCUGCUACAGGUUGAUGGCAUUUGACACAUUUAAAAGGCAAGUAGACAGUUCUUUCUUAUCAGUGAAGCAUAGAUGUAGUAUGAUACAAGUUUCAUGUGAUAAUGGAAAGUCUAUAGACUCUGGAGGCAGAGAAGUUACAUUUGAAGUUUGGCCAGGAUCUCACACUUCUGAACUGUGUGACCUGGAGGAUGGAAGCAUUGAAGAGAGUUUUAUAAGGAACUGUUCACAAAGAUGUGGGCAAACUCAGCAAUGGAUAGCUUGGUACUCCUGGGCUUACAACAGAUGGGAGCCAUUACCUUAUAUCUGGAGGGAUCAGAAAGGAACAAUUGACAGGAUUCUGAGGGCUGCCUGACAAGUAGCCUAUAAUAAAGGGACAUAGCCAGCUCACAGUGACCCUGCCAGGAGGGAUCUGGGGAGAAUAAAUACCCUGACCUCCCUCUCCCAGUUAGCCCUCGCAUCUACUGCCAGUUCUCCUUUAGACAAACCUUAUGGAAGGCACAAGGUAAAGACACAUAUCAGAGCAGGUUAUUAAAAGUCAAUUUCUCGUAAGAUGGAGAGGAAACUCAGGAGAUCAGGAAGGGUGAUGGAAUACACCCAGCACCUAUACCCAUGUCUGUGACAUUAAAUCACCACAGAGAAGUUUUUAUCAUUCAAUUCCAGUCACCUGUAUACAUAUACAUCUAUUUUGGAAUUGUUUGUAGCACCCUCACCAUCUUGACAAAGUCAGAAAAAGGAAACCAUCAAAUCCACCGUGUUUUCUUUUGCACCUUGGUUGUGAACAGGAAACCCUUGGGUCAUCAUAAUACAAUAAUAGUAACUAUAAUACCAAUAACUAUAACUGACUUAAUUUGUUUCCUGUUUCUCCUCAUGCUUUUUUAAAAACAUUUUUUUUUUUUUCACAGCUUAACUGCACUGUUCACCAGUGGCUAUAUAUUCAUACUGACUGAAAUCCUUUACAGCUUCACUCCCUCUUAGCUAUGUGCUCCUGGACAAAUGACUUACGCUUUUUAAGUCUUAGCCUCCUCGUAUGAAAAAUUAAGCUAUCUCGAUAUAACCAAGCAAGUGGGCUUGUUGCUUGCUGCAAAAUGGAAAGACUGAGUACUGGGGCGAUGGCCUUUUGCAGAGAGGAAAGGCUUUCUUGCAGGGCAGCCAAGCAAGGAAGUGCUCAGCUCAGGGAAUGCUCCGCUCUGUCUCCCCCAUCUGCUCUUGAGUGGGAUAUUUAUAGUGAAAGUGAGGAGGAGGAGGAGGCUCGCAAUGAUUGGUGGAAAGUGAAGGUAAGUUUCAAGAGUUCACUGUGCAGCCCAGACUGUUCUUCAUGCCUCUUCAUGUGCAAAUUUGGGGCAUUCAGUGUGUUAUAAGCUGGGGAUUUUUGAUCUGCCUUUUUGACCUCUAAAGUUCACUCUGCUGGUCUAGUUUCUCAAUGUGCCUGUGCAAGGUUCGGCUGCCGGAUAUGUCAGCAAGUUGCUUCCCUGGUUCUCCGUAAAGGCCAGCUUGGAGGUCUUAGUGAAUCAUUUGGUUCCUAUUUUGUUUCUACUUUAUGGGCCUUGAAUGUGUGAGGUACAGGGUAUAGUUUCAUCAGUAUGUCUUAAAUAUUUUUUCACAAAGACAUAUAGGAAGAACUCAGUAACCAUUAGCUACAAUUAUUGCAUUUGAGAAGGUUUUUCAGAGUAAUUCACAAAUAAUAAUUUAUAUGAAUGAUUUAUUUGUAUAAAUAAUAACAAAUUAUAAUAGAACCAUCCUUUCUUAAUCUGAACCCCCAAAUAAUCUAUUCCUCACUGUACUGUUGUGAAUAUCAAAAGAGAAAAAACACGGAGAGUUUUUGUAAUCGACAUCAUACUCAUAAAUGCCACUUCUUGUUAUCAUUGUUAUUAUUAGCAGAAAUAGACUCUCUCCUUUGUCAAUAAGUUCUCUCCAGAAGGAGGGGUGGACUGGCAAAGCUUUGAUCAUGUCUCAAAUGGCUCAGCACAGUCUGCCUUUUGUCCAAAAUACCAAAAGAAAGAGUUCAGUCAGUCACCACCUUUAUCACUCCCACUCUGGAAAAUGGAACUUUGACUAAAAAGGAGACUGAAUUAGAAGCCCCUCUUUGCGGACCGAGAAUAGGAUUGUAAAAAUAAAGAAAUGAGGAUAAUGUUUUAUAAAUGUACUUGCCUAAAGAUGUUUUUCAGUGAUUGGAACUGAGAAAAGCCAAGCACUUUUCCAAGGUUAUAUUUUAGGUGAUAAUGUCAGCAAAGGAAAUGAGGAAGGACAAGCUAAGAAACAGCGGGAUAAUGAGGGCAUUUCUUUGGCAUAGAUAUUAACGUCCAGUAAACAAAGCAGUUAUGAUUUACUAUUCUUCCUUAAUGGAAGUAUUAAAAUAUGUAUAUGUUAUUUAUAAUUAUACAAAGCUAUAUAGUUUAUAAUCUCCAAGCAGUACCCAUGUCUUUGAAAAGAAUAAAAUCCUGUGGUUAAUCAGUCUACUGAAAUACCCUUCCCUUAUGAUCCAUACUGGCUUAUAUGUAACCCCAUCAAAAAUACGUUGGCAUGUCUUCGAGGCGUAACAUAGGUUUGUGUGUGAGAGUGCAUGUGUGUACACGUGUGCCUGCUGGCAUGUGCCACAGAGUGCCGAACUUUGAAAACGGGGGAAGAUUUGGGAAUCUUUAUGACCUGGAGGAAUAUGGGGUUGUCUUCCAGUUUGGGGCCUUUGAAUGUGCCUGUGUGUACUUUGUCGUGAAAGCUUCGCUGGAGUGGUCGAGUCGCAAUGAAGCACCUUCAGGUCCCGGUCCCGGGACAGUUGUGGAUGAACGCUGUGACUGCAGACAAAGUCAUUUAACCCCCCUGGAUCUCAGUGAAUUCAUCUGUAAAGCACUCAGGUUGACCUCUGUGAUCUCUAAGGUCCUUAGGAGAGGUAAAGUUUUAUGAUUCUCUGUGAGUUAAUUAUUGAGGUCUUUUGUGGUCAAGUUUGCAUCCCUCAUUGUUUGAGGCAGCAAUAAACAAGAAUAACCUCUGCUCCAAAAUUAGAAUAUUUUGUAACUUACUAGAAAUAGAUGAAAAUAUUCUAAGGAGAAUAAUGAUUACAUCAUUUGAUCUAGGCAUGAAGCUGAAAAAAUUCAAAACAAAGCCUAUUUACCAUCUCCUUAAGUGUUUCCCUUGUUCAAAAACAAAUCAAGACUGAGACUCAUUAUUCCCUACAGCUCAAAGCUACAUAACGCUGUGGGUGCUCUGUUAAUGCCUUUGCUGUGGUCUGACAUAGUCUUUGGAUCUGCCUCUGUUCCUUGUCAGCACCAGUGAUAAAGCCUGCUUUAUUUUACACAGAAAGUGGAUUUAAAAGAAAGGCAUGACAGCAUCUUCUCUGUGGCUGAGAUUUCUUUGGUCACACGUUAUAUCUCACUUCCCUAGUGUGAGGCCACUGGCCUGUGUUCCAACUUUAAUUCCCUCACAGAUGUUAAAGAGACUAAUAAUAUCCCCAGAGCCUGUCUCAGACAGAAUAGCACGAGAGACAAAGGCUGUCUCUGGGACAUUUUAACUUCCCUUUUCAGAACCAUCACCAAGUGCCUAGCUUGUGCCCCACUCUCUCAGGGCUGGAUUUGGAUACUGUAUUUUCUGUUACCUGGCAAGUAUUUAAGCUGGU